GCUUGGUGUAGUGGUUUGAACGUUGGACUACAGCUUUGGAGAUCAGGGUUCAAUUCCCUGCUUAAGCA
rnacentral:tRNA from 1 species